GACGAACGCUGGCGGCGUGCUUAACACAUGCAAGUCGAACGGAAAGGCCCUGCUUUUGUGGGGUGCUCGAGUGGCGAACGGGUGAGUAACACGUGAGUAACCUGCCCUUGACUUUGGGAUAACUUCAGGAAACUGGGGCUAAUACCGGAUAGGAGCUCCUGCUGCAUGGUGGGGGUUGGAAAGUUUCGGCGGUUGGGGAUGGACUCGCGGCUUAUCAGCUUGUUGGUGGGGUAGUGGCUUACCAAGGCUUUGACGGGUAGCCGGCCUGGGAGGGUGACCGGCCACAUUGGGACUGGGGGACGGCCCAGACUCCUACGGGAGGCAGCAGGGGGGAAUAUUGCGCAAUGGGCGGGGGCCUGAUGCAGCAGCGCCGCGUGCGGGAUGACGGCCUUCGGGGUGUAAACCUCUUUCGCCUGUGACGAAGCGUGAGUGACGGUAAUGGGUAAAAAAGCACCGGCUAACUACGUG
rnacentral:rRNA from 1 species